UAUCCUGAUGACCGUUUUAUUAGCUCUAGCUGAGUUCAUCGUGAUGAACACUUUUUCACCUUGGAGAACUGAUAA
rnacentral:snoRNA from 1 species